AUUGAACGCUGGCGGCAGGCCUAACACAUGCAAGUCGAGCGGAGCGGCGGACGGGUGAGUAAUGCCUAGGAAUCUGCCUGGUAGUGGGGGAUAACGUUCGGAAACGGACGCUAAUACCGCAUACUAUCAGAUGAGCCUAGGUCGGAUUAGCUAGUUGGUGGGGUAAUGGCUCACCAAGGCUACGAUCCGUAACUGGUCUGAGAGGAUGAUCAGUCAAACGGGAACUGAGACACGGUCCAGAGUCCUACGGUAGGCAGCAGUGGGGAAUAUUGGACAAUGGGCGAAAGCCUGAUCCAGCCAUGCCGCGUGUGUGAAGAAGGUCUUCGGAUUGUAAAGCACUUUAAGUUGGGAGGCGUUACCGACAGAAUAAGCACCGGCUAACUCGGUGCCAGCAGCCGCGGUAAUAC
rnacentral:rRNA from 1 species